rfam:Trueperella bernardiae strain LCDC 89-0504 AQZ59_contig000001, whole genome shotgun sequence.
GCGGAUGUAGCUCAGCUGGUAGAGCACCACCUUGCCAAGGUGGGGGUCGCGGGUUCGAAUCCCGUCAUCCGCU